GAGUGAACAGGGACAAGCUCAAAUUUUAAAUCUGUUAGGUUCUACUUAACCGAGUUGUAAUUUGAAGAAGCGUUUUCUGCGUAUUUGAUCAGCCCAAGUCCUAUUGAAUGAGGCAUCAUGGAGGGUGAUAAUCCCGUCCGGUUGAUCAUUGCGUUUUAUGAUACGUUUUCUAAGAGUCAAGUUGUUUGGGAUUGCAGCUUAAAAUGGGAGGUAAAUUUCUCCUAAGGCUAAAUAACGGCGAGAGACCGAUAGCGAACAAGUACCGUGAGGGAAAGAUGAAAAGAACUUUGAAAAGAGAGUUAAAUAGUACGUGAAAUUGUUGAAAGGGAAACGAUUGAAGCCAGUCGUACCGACGGGAAUUCAACUUCUCGAGUGCUAAUCGUGGGUGACGUUGAGCCUCACGGCCUUCGUUGCUUGUGUUCUUGGUGCUUUUGGGGUGUACUUUUCCGUAUUGGUAGGUCAGCAUCGAUUUCGAUCGUCAUAAAAUGAUCGGGGGAAUGUAGCUUCGGUCUCGUAUCGGAGUGUUAUAGACCUUGGUAGAUGUGACGUUUGGGAUCGAGGAUUGCAACGGAUACCCUUCGGGGCUACUUGUCUGAUCUCUGAUCGUUGCUCUGGUGCCGAAAGCUUGCUUACGGUUAUCAAAGUCGAUGGUCAAUAGGUUAGAACGGGUUAAAUUCGUUA
rnacentral:rRNA from 1 species